rnacentral:tmRNA from 1 species
GGGGAUGACAGGUUUCGACAGCGUGACUCUCCGGUUGUAUUCGUCUCUGUUCGGGAUGGCAACGGUUCCCGUACCCACUGUUGCACCCAAUAUCUGCCAACUACAAGCAGAAGUUUGCGAGUAUGAAGGCGCGCUUUGCACGUCCUUCGUUUGCCUUCGCUCCGGCGAUGGCGUUCGCAGCCUAAGCUCCCCAUCUAGCGGGAGCACGUCGCUCCGCCGAUUCUCGCUACGCGGAUGCGGCGUCAUUUGCGAGGCGGUAUCUCUCCUGACGCAGGGAACAUACCGUAUUUUUGCGUCAUCCCUCCCAUUCCCUUCUUCGUCCUCUUCCUUAGGGUUUGGGAGAAUAGAAGAGGUCAUAACAGUAUGGACAGUCUUCCGACACGUUGGACCCGGGUUCAAUUCCCGGCAUCUCCACCA